AUUGUGUGGUCGAAUGACAUUGAG
rnacentral:snRNA from 1 species